rnacentral:rRNA from 1 species
GAUGAACGCUGGCGGCGUGCCUAAUACAUGCAAGUCGAGCGAACGGACGAGAAGCUUGCUUCUCUGAUGUUAGCGGCGGACGUGUGAGUAACACGUGGAUAACCUACCUAUAAGACUGGGAUAACUUCGGGAAACCGGAGCUAAUACCGGAUAAUAUUUUGAACCGCAUGGUUCAAAAGUGAAAGACGGUCUUGCAGUCACUUAUAGAUGGAUCCGCGCUGCAUUAGCUAGUUGGUAAGGUAACGGCUUACCAAGGCAACGAUGCAUAGCCGACCUGAGAGGGUGAUCGGCCACACUGGAACUGAGACACGGUCCAGACUCCUACGGGAGGCAGCAGUAGGGAAUCUUCCGCAAUGGGCGAAAGCCUGACGGAGCAACGCCGCGUGAGUGAUGAAGGUCUUCGGAUCGUAAAACUCUGUUAUUAGGGAAGAACAUAUGUGUAAGUAACUGUGCACAUCUUGACGGUACCUAAUCAGAAAGCCACGGCUAACUACGUG